CUAUACUUUCAAACUCACGGUGCAGUAAUACAUUUAUAAGUUGUGUCUUUGUUUUGUUUCGCUUUUUUUUUCUUUUCGUUAAUCAAACGUUUUAAUAUUUGUGUAUUCUACAACUCAACGAUUUCGAAGAUACGUAUUUUCAAUCCUUGGAAUGAAUUUCUUCGUUACAAAAAUGAAUUGCUAACCUAUCAUCGAAAAAAAUCAUCGCAGCUCCUGCUAUACCUCCACCACAUUGAGCUGCUAUGUAAAGAGCUGCGCGUAACGGUGAGAUACGACGACAUAAGGAAAAGGAUAUUGAUACGGCAGGAUUUACGUGUGCUCCUGGAUAAACACCAACACGUUUGGAAAUUUCUAACGAGACGACCACAAAGAGACAUUCGAGAUACUCGUGCUCAUCUAUCGCGAGCGUGUAAGUGAAGAAACGUAAAUUGAAUGUGCCCACAUGCCUUCGAAUGAACGAGUUACGCGUUAACGAGCUAAUCGAGAGGGACUGCGAGGGCCGACCACAAGUGCCUCUAAAACGAGGGGUAAAGAGACCAUUUGCGAAACGAGAUGUUCGUUUUGAAAUAGAAAAAGAAAAAAAGGAAAAAGAAAGAUCGUCUCACCGCUAACAUGGCCAAAGAUGAGAUAGAUCGCUGAGACAGCGAAACCGGAAGCAAUUGCGGUCGCCAGGAUGGAGAGUCCGCUUCCGGAGACUGCGGUAGAAGAGGCUGCUCCGGAUACAACCAAG